rnacentral:rRNA from 1 species
GACGAACGCUGGCGGCGUGCUUAACACAUGCAAGUCGAACGGAAAGGCCCUGCUUUUGUGGGUGCCCGGGUGGCGAACGGGGGAGGAAAACGGGGGUUACCUUGCCCUGACCUUUGGGUAACCUUAAGGAAACUGGGGUAAUACCGGGAAAGAGCCUCUGGUGCAUGGGGGGGGGUGGGAAGGUUCGGCGGUUGGGGAUGGACUCGCGGCUUAUCAGCUUGUUGGUGGGGUAGUGGCUUACCAAGGCUUUGACGGGUAGCCGGCCUGAGAGGGUGACCGGCCACAUUGGGACUGAGAUACGGCCCAGACUCCUACGGGAGGCAGCAGUGGGGAAUAUUGCACAAUGGGCGGAAGCCUGAUGCAGCAACGCCGCGUGCGGGAUGACGGCCUUCGGGUUGUAAACCGCUUUCGCCUGUGACGAAGCGUGAGUGACGGUAAUGGGUAAAGAAGCACCGGCUAACUACGUG